CACGGGGGGAACGCGAAGAACCUUACCCACCUUUGACAUGUACGGAAUCCUUUAGAGAUAGAGGAGUGCUCGAAAGAGAGCCGUAACACAGGUGCUGCAUGGCUGUCGUCAGCUCGUGUCGUGAGAUGUUGGGUUAAGUCCCGCAACGAGCGCAACCCUUGUCAUUAGUUGCUACACUCAGUUGGGCACUCUAAUGAGACUGCCGGUGACAAGCCGGAGGAAGGUGGGGAUGACGUCAAGUCCUCAUGGCCCUUAUAGGUGGGGCUACACACGUCAUACAAUGGCUGGUACAAAGGGUUGCCAACCCGCGAGGGGGAGCUAAUCCCAUAAAGCCAGUCGUAGUCCGGAUCGUAGUCUGCAACUCGACUACGUGAAGUCGGAAUCGCUAGUAAUCGUGGAUCAGAAUGUCACGGUGAAUACGUUCCCGGGUCUUGUACACACGC
rnacentral:rRNA from 1 species